rnacentral:misc_RNA from 1 species
UUGGAGGGCAAGUCUGGUGCCAGCAGCCGCGGUAAUUCCAGCUCCAAUAGCGUAUAUUAAAGUUGUUGCAGUUAAAAAGCUCGUAGUUGAAUUUCGGGAUCAAGGUGCUGGUCAUGCCUUUGGUAUGUACUGACAUCAUUGAUUUCUCCCUUCUGAUGAACUGUGAUGUCAUUAAUUUGGUGUCAUGGAGAAUCAGGACUUUUACUUUGAAAAAAUUAGAGUGUUUAAAGCAAGCUCACGCUUGAAUACAUUAGCAUGGAAUAAUGAAAUAGGACGUUUGAUCCUAUUUUGUUGGUUUCUAGGAUUGACGUAAUGAUUAAUAGGGAUAGUUGGG